rnacentral:rRNA from 1 species
UUUCCUUCGGGUUUCGNNUGAACGGGGUGCUCCGCUUUGGUGACUCUGGAUAACUCACUGGUCGAUCGCACGGGUCUCGCACCCGGCGACGGGUCCCCCGAGGGUCCGCCCCUAUCAACU